rnacentral:rRNA from 1 species
UACGUAGGGUGCGAGCGUUGUCCGGAAUUAUUGGGCGUAAAGAGCUCGUAGGCGGUGUGUCGCGUCGGCCGUGAAAACCUGGGGCUUAACUCUGGGCGUGCGGUCGAUACGGGCAUCACUAGAGUUCGGCAGGGGAGACUGGAAUUCCUGGUGUAGCGGUGAAAUGCGCAGAUAUCAGGAGGAACACCGGUGGCGAAGGCGGGUCUCUGGGCCGAUACUGACGCUGAGGAGCGGAAGCAUGGGUAGCGAACAGG